GUCCCGGGUGGGACACUUCCGGUCUCCCUGGUUUGGUUUCUGAACCAGGGUGCGCAGGAUCAAAGGUCUCUUGGGUACAGAUCAGCAAAGCUAGCUUUGAUGCUUGUGCACACAAACAACUCUGGCCAGUUGUGAAGAGGGCAGGUGACUGAGGUCAGGGGGGGAGGGAGAAAUUCCCACCUGAGAGCUGAGGGCGAUGCUUGAGGCUGUGGUUGCCUUUUUGAAUUUCCCGAGGCACUGAUGACAAAGACCUUUUAAAAGUUGAAGUCGAGGAAGUUCCAAAACCUUAGUAAACCAGAAGGAAAAAACGGUUUGCACAAAAGGAUUCUUUUUUCCCUUACAGUCAAAAAAUACCAGGAGACCUUAAAGGAAUUCUGCCGCUAAAAAUUCCACCUGCGGUUGAAAUCAGUUAAUUUAAUUUACUCUGCUAGAUGAUCUCUAGGGAAGUGAACACCAAUGGAAAUCGAGAGAACAGGAAAGGCCAGACCAUGUGUUCCACUUAGUAUUUAGCUGAGGUUUUCAUAGUUAUUUGUUUGUACCUAGAGAAGCAUAUUCAUUCUAACACCAGAAGAAAUUUAGGUUGUUUUCAAAACAGUGAAACUUCUAGAUGAGUAAACAGGAUAAUUUGUGAAUCAGAUAAAUGCAUUUGGUGUUUAAUUAGGGGAAACCAAUAAAAGCCACUUGUUUAGAAAGGAGAAGUGAGUUUUCUGCAGUCACAGAGCCUCAUUUGGUAAGUCAGUCCCACUACCAUAUACAAAGGAAAUAAAACCACAGGGGUGUCUUGUUCACACUCAUGGUCUAGAAUCUUUAGGACCACUAGUGUGGUCUUGCUGUCGGGUUAAAGAGAGUUAUUCAAUGCCAGCAGUAAAGCAUCUGGACUGAAAUAACAUACUAGACUUUGUUAAAUUCAUUUGUGAUCAAGUGAUGUAGCAAUAGUGGUCUCCAUAUUUUAGAUCUAAAGACUGGAAUUCCCGAUAUGAUCAAUGUUUCUAAUUCCACCUCUCACGGUGCUGCCUCGUGCUUCCUGAAAUUCUUGUGUGCCAUAUAUCUUUUUAAAAUAAUAGAGCUCCGAUACACAAGCACUGUCUCCUUUUAGCCUAGAAUAGUAAGUCAAUUCUGGCACAUUCUGAGAACAUCUAUGACUCUAAGGUAAAUUCUGGGUUCUAAGUCAAGCCCUGCUGUGAAAACUAAUCUUUGCUUUAGAUCUCCACCUUGUGGUUAGAUGUUUAAAAUGUAAAUUCUUGUGGGUUUUGUGAUCCUGGUUUAUAUCAGUCUUCUAAAAAGGAAGUCAGGAUGGACAUUGUCUUAAAGUAACUCGGGACUUACAAUUGAGUAUUUAGAAGUCUGUAAUUUGGAUUCGGUUGGGCUUCAGAAUGAGUUUUCCCUCUGAGCUUUCAGUUGCCACUGUGCAAGUGCUUUGAGAAGUUGGCUUUGUGUUUCUUAAGGAUUUGAACAGAAUUUCAGAGACAUUUUUUAAGUUAGUGUUAAUAUAAAAGGAGCCAGUAAGAGCAACCUCAUUCAUUGUAUCUUCCCUAUGGGUGGAACAUAGGGGUCUAGAGCUUACAUCCUUAAAACGUGAGGGAGAACCAUUAGAAAUACUCCAACAUGUGGUUCAAACUGGACCAAGAGAACGCUCAGGUGACAGCUAUCACGCCCUUAAUUCAUUUUGUAGGUUUCCUCAUCACAAUGUAGGAAAGCCGUGUGACAGCCACUGGGUGGACAGUAGUGCUCUGUGCAGCUCACAGACCAUGUGGUUACAACAUGAAGUACGCAAGAGUGGGCCUCGUGCUUUGGGUCAAGGUUAGAGCUUCUGGGAUCUAUGUAAGACUCAAUUUUCAGAAUUCAGUUAACCAAGGGAACACUUCUUGAAUUUUAUGUAUUCAUUGUAUACAUAUUACCAUUGACCUCUGUUAUUUUUCUCUACAUUCAACCACAGAUACCUGUGACUGUACCUUAAAAAUAUACUCAGAACCUGGAAGCUUCUUGUCACCCCCUCAUUCAUUCAUAGCCGCCAGACUGAUCCUACUAGAACGCACAGUGACAUGAAGUUGCAAGUGAGUUGCACUGGAUCAUAAGGAGCAUACAGUUUUGAAGGAAAACUGGGAUGGAGCUGCAUCUCAGAUGUGUGAAGCCCGCCAGAUAUUGUGUACAUGUGGGGACACGAGCCUGAUCCCCCAGACCAUUAAUGAAGAUUGGAACAAGCAAAGAAGGGGACGCCAAGGGCCAUUGUUGCGGGUGCUUCUGAAUUCAUUUGUGAUGCCUUUCAGCAAGGGGUGAUGGAACCCGUGCCAGCUCAUCUUGCUGCAGCACGUGCCAGUUGCACUUGCUCAUGCCAGUGGCCUAAGCACGAGAAAAUCUAGGAUUUAUUUGGCAGGCAGAGAAACAGAGAGAGAAAGAGACACACAUAGAGAUAUACAUAUUUCCCCAAAUUGCUGCAACAGCCAAGGCUGGGCCAGGACGAAGCCAGAAGCCAGAAACUCCAUCUGGGACUCCCAUGUGCAUGGCAGAGGCUCAAGCACUUGGGCCGUCUUCUACUGCCUUCCCAGGUACGUUGGCAGGGAGUUGGAUUGGAAGCAGAGCAGCUGGGACUCGAAAUAGCACUCUGAUUUGGGGUGCUGGCAUCUCUAGUGGUUGCUUAACCCACUGUGCCACAGCGCUGGCCCUUGAUGAUGACAUCUGUAACUGGGGUGAGCUAAUAUCUCACUGUAUUUUGGUUUGCAUUUCCCUUAUGAUUAGUGAUAAUGAAUAUUUUUGUAUAUUUUGUUUGUGGGGUUUACAUGAAUGUAUGUGGUAAGAAAAAUUCCAAUAUGUCUUAAAUUUAAUUACAAGGGGGGCCGGCGCUGUGGCAUAGCGGGUGAAGCUGCCGCCUGCAGUGCCAGGAUCCCAUAUAGGCACCGGUUUGAGUCCCAGCUGCCCCACUUCCAAUCUAGCUCUCUGCUGUGGCCUGGGAAAGCAGCAGAGGAUGGCCUGGAUCCUUGGGCCCCUGAACCCACAUGGGAGACCCGGAAGAGGCUCCUGGCUCCUGGCUUCUUUGGGAUGGUGCAGCUCCGGCCGUCGCGGCCAACUGGGGAGUGAUAUUCUCUCUCUCUCUCUCUGCCUCUCCUUCUCUCUCUGUGUAACUCUGACUUUCAAAUAAAUAAAUAAAUCUUUAAAAAAAAAGAAAAGAGAGAGAAAAAAGAAAAAGAAACAUUUAAUUACAAGGGAUGAGGUUGGAGUGGGGGGAGAGAUAAGGCAAGUUAAUUAGUUCACAAUUACAGGCCAAAAAAAGGCUGUUCCACAUUCCUGAAUGUUCAAACCUUGACUUAAAUCCCAUCACAGCCACUACCAGGGCUACUGUGCCUGUUAACACAUAAACUAUUUUGACUAUUGACCUCAACAUGGCAGAAGUAACAAUUACUUCUCUUUUUUUUUUCUAAGAGAUUUUUUUUAAAGAUUUAUUUUAUUCAUUUGAAAGACAAAGUUACAUAGAGAGGUAGAGACAGAGAGGUCUUCCAUCUGCUGAUUCACUCCCCAGAUGGCCGCAAUGGCCAGAGCUGUGCCAAUCCGAAGUCAGGGGCCAGGAGCCAUCUUCUACUACUUUCCCAGGCCAUAGCAGAGAGCUGGAUUGGAAGUGGAGCAGCCGGGACUAGAACAGGCGCCCAUAUGGGAUGCUGGUGCUUCAGGCCAGGGCCUUAGCUCGCUGUGCCACAGCACUGGCCCCAACAAUUACUUCUCCUUUGGACUACCCUCCUAUCCCAGUUUUCCCCCCUGCUUUGCACUAUCCUACCCUCUUCUCUGUAGCCAGUGUAGGUUCAAUAUUAACGACUUAUGCUUUCCUUCUCAAGUUUUUGCUAUAAAAAUGCUCUUUUUUAUAGAAAGCUUUUAUUUAAUAAGUAUAAAUUUCAUAAGUACAACUUUUGGGUUGUAACGGUUCUUCCCUCUACAUCCGCCCUCCCACCCCCAAACCAUCCCACCUCCUACUCCCUCUCCUAUCCCAUUCUUCAUUAAGAUUCAUUUUAAUUAGCUUUAUAUACAGAAGAUCAACUUUAUACUAUGUAAAGAUUUCAACAGUUUGCACCCACACAGACACACAAAGUAUAAAGUACUGUUUGAAGACUAGUUUUACCAUUAAUUUGCAUAGUACAACAUUUUGAGGACAGAGGUCCUACAGGGGGAGCAAGUGCACAGUGACUCCUGUUGUUGAUUUAACAAUUGACACUAUUAUUUAUGACAUCAGUGAUCACCUGAGUCCCUUGUCAUGAGCUGCCAAGGCUAUGGAAGCCUCUUGAGUUCGCAAACUCCGACCUUAUUUAGACAAGGCCAUAGUCAAAGUGGAAGUUCUCUCCUCCCUUCAGGGAAAGGUACCUCCUUCUUUGAUGGCCCGUUCUUUCCACUGGGAUCUUACAGAGAUCUUUCAUGUAGGUCAUUUUUUUUGUCACAGUAUCUUGGCUUUUCAUGCCUGAGAUACUCUCAUGGGCUUUUUAGCCAGAUCUGAGUGCCUUAAGGGCUGAUUCUGAGGCCAGAGUGCUGUAUAAAAAUGCUCUUAGCUCUAGGUCUAGCAGACAUUUUUUCCCCAACUUCUUCCCAGCCCUGCUGCUGGAAGUUAUGGAAGCCGUGUCAGGACCUGUUCUUUUUCUGGCUAGAAUUUGUAGAAGUUCAAUAAAACUUUUUUAUUUUAGAGAUCCCUUGUGAUACUGGCUAACAUUAGGUCUGGGCUGCUCAACACUGGACAACCAGUACAUCAGAGAGAAGAGUUCAUGUGAGGGAACAGUUUUAUUCAAGAAGCUGGAAAUCUUGGGAAAAAGCAGACUUCAUCAUUCCCAAAAGUGCUUUCCCAAUUUGCAGAUUGGCAGGAGGACUUUUAAAGGAAAAAGGAGAGUUGGGGGUAGGCAGGCAGGGAAUAGUGUUAGGAAGGUUUCUAAGGUCAGUGUUGGUGCCUGUUAGGUAGAGGCUCGUUAAUAUGAAACUUGGCUGGUUUUUGGUAGUGGUCAUAAAUUUCUUCCUUAUCUGGGAUCUUCUAUUCCAGCCUUCUCCCUGCAGUCGGGUCCUGAAAUUCUAUUGAACAAACAUUCUAAACAGCCACAGGAUUAGCAGUUAGAUUUUGCUAGAAUGUGGAAAGGAAAGGGAAGAUGUACUUUGCAGUUGCAAAUGUGUGGCUAGUCUUAAGGUUAUGCUAGGUCUCAAGAGUGUUGGUUUAAAUUCUGUUAGUUAUCUUGUCCGAUAUUUCUAGCCCACUAACUGUAGUCUACAUAUUUAUGUUAUAUAUUUAUUGUUGUGAGAACUUUCCUGGAUGGGAAUUGAAGAAUCCCAGAGUCAGGAGAGACCUUUAGAGAUCAUCACAUCAAAUCCUCUUUGAAUGGCUACAUUCACGUCAUGGCACCCCGAUCCAAACUUGCACAUGUGGUCAGGGAGCACUGGCUAUGUCUCCUUGGGUUCUUUAUUAUCUCAAUGUUUUCAUUUUCUUUUAUUUUUGUAAAAUAUUUAUUUACUUGAGAGUCUGAGUUACAGACAGGAAAAGGAGGAGAUAGAGAGGUCUUCCAUCCACUGGCUGCAAUAGCCAGAGCUGCUGGGCUGAUCUGUAGCCAGGAAGCAGGAGCCUUCUCCAGGUCUCUCACAUGGGUGCAGGGGUCCGAGUACUUGAUCCAUCUUCCACUGCUUUCCCAGGCCAUUUGCAGGGAGCUGGAUUGGAAGUGGAGCAGCCGGGACUCAAACCAGCACCCGCAGGGGAUGCCAGCACCACAGGCGGAGGCUUAACCUACUAAGCCACAGUGCCAGCCCCAGUGUAUUCAUUUGCUAGAUGAACACAAGCUGGUGACUUAAAACAAGAGAAAUGUAUUCGCUCACAGGUCUGUUGGCUCUAACUGAAAUCAAGGAGUUGAUAGGACCAUGCUUCCUCUUAACUCUGCAAUCAAGGAGUUGAUAGGACCAUGCUUCAUCUAACUCUGCAGUCAAGGAGUUGAUAGGACCUUGCUUCAUCUAACUCUGCAGUCAAGGAGUUGAUAGGACCUUGCUUCCUCUAACUCUGCAGUCAAGGAGUUGAUAGGACCUUGCUUCCUCUAACUCUGCAGUCAAGGAGUUGAUAGGACCUUGCUUCAUCUAACUCUGCAGUCAAGGAGUUGAUAGGACCUUGCUUCAUCUAACUCUGCAAUCAAGGAGUUGAUAGGACCAUGCUUCAUCUAACUCUGCAGUCAAGGAGUUGAUAGGACCAUGCUUCAUCUAACUCUGCAGUCAAGGAGUUGAUAGGACCUUGCUUCAUCUAACUCUGCAAUCAAGGAGUUGAUAGGACCAUGCUUCCUCUAACUCUGCAAUCAAGGAGUUGAUAGGAC